rnacentral:rRNA from 1 species
GGGGAUAUUGCACAAUGGGGGAAACCCUGAUGCAGCCAUGCCGCGUGUGUGAAGAAGGCCUUCGGGUUGUAAAGCACUUUCAGUAGGGAGGAAAGGGUGUAGUUUAAUACGCUAUAUCUGUGACGUUACCUACAGAAGAAGGACCGGCUAACUCCGUGCCAGCAGCCGCGGUAAUACGGAGGGUCCGAGCGUUAAUCGGAAUUACUGGGCGUAAAGCGUGCGCAGGCGGUUUGUUAAGCGAGAUGUGAAAGCCCUGGGCUCAACCUAGGAAUAGCAUUUCGAACUGGCGAACUAGAGUCUUGUAGAGGGGGGUAGAAUUCCAGGUGUAGCGGUGAAAUGCGUAGAGAUCUGGAGGAAUACCGGUGGCGAAGGCGGCCCCCUGGACAAAGACUGACGCUCAUGCACGAAAGCGUGGGGAGCAAACAGGAUUAGAUACCCUGGUAGUCCACGCCGUAAACGAUGUCUACUCGGAGUUUGGUGUCUUGAACACUGGGCUCUCAAGCUAACGCAUUAAGUAGACCGCCUGGGGAGUACGGCCGCAAGGUUAAAACUCAAAUGAAUUGACGGGGCCC